rnacentral:rRNA from 1 species
ACAUGCAGUCGAACGGGGUGUAGCAAUACACCUAGUGGCGGACGGGUGAGGAAUACAUAGGAAUUUGCCCUUAAGUGGGGGAUAGUCCGGGGAAACUCGGUUUAAUACCGCAUGAUCUCGUGAGAGCAAAGCAGGGGACCGCGAGGCCUUGCGCUUUUGGAGAGGCCUAUGUCGGAUUAGCUAGUUGGUAGGGUAAUGGCCUACCAAGGCGACGAUCCGUAACUGGUCUGAGAGGAUGAUCAGUCACACCGGAACUGAGACACGGUCCGGACUCCUACGGGAGGCAGCAGUGGGGAAUAUAGGACAAUGGGCGCAAGCCUGAUCCAGCAAUGCCGCGUGUGUGAAGAAGGCCUUCGGGUUGUAAAGCACUUUAGGCUGGAAAGAAAAAGCUUCACCUAAUACGUGAAGCCUUGACGGUACCAGCAGAAUAAGCACCGGCUAACUCAGUGCCAGCAGCCGCGGUAAUACAGAGGGUGCAAGCGUUAAUCGGAUUUACUGGGCGUAAAGCGUGUGUAGGCGGUUCGUUAAGUCGGAUGUGAAAGCCCUGGGCUCAACCUGGGAACUGCAUUCGAUACUGGCGAGCUAGAGUACGGUAGAGGGAGGCGGAACUCCGGGUUUAGCGGUGAAAUGCGUAGAUAUCCGGAAGAACACCGAUGGCGAAGGCAACCUCCUGGGCCUGUACUGACGCUGAGACACGAAAGCGUGGGGAGCAAACAGGAUUAGAUACCCUGGUAGUCCGCGCUGUAAACGAUGAGAACUUGACGUCGGUUUGCUCUGCGAAUCGGUGUCGAAGCUAACGCGCUAAGUUCUCCGCCUGGGGAGUACGGCCGCAAGGUUGA